rnacentral:pre_miRNA from 1 species
GUGUGCUGUGCUCUACUCAAGACAGUGGCAAUCAUGUAUAAUUAAAUAUGAUUGACACGUCUAUGAGUGGAAUAAGGCAUGA